rnacentral:rRNA from 1 species
AUGCAAGUCGAACGAGAUCUUCGGAUCUAGUGGCGCACGGGUGAGUAACGCGUGGGAACCUACCUUUUAGUUCGGGAUAACAGUUGGAAACGACUGCUAAUACCGUAUACGCCCUCUGGGGGAAAGGUCAGCCGCUGAAAGAGGGGCCCGCGUCUGAUUAGCUUGUUGGUAGGGUAAAAGCCUACCAAGGCUACGAUCAGUAGCUGGUCUGAGAGGAUGAUCAGCCACACUGGGACUGAGACACGGCCCAGACUCCUACGGGAGGCAGCAGUCGGGAAUAUUGGACAAUGGAGGAAACUCUGAUCCAGCAAUGCCGCGUGUGUGAUGAAGGCCCUAGGGUUGUAAAGCACUUUCAACGGUGAAGAUGAUGACGGUAGCCGUAGAAGAAGCCCCGGCUAACUUCGUGCCAGCAGCCGCGGUAAUACGAAGGGGGCGAGCGUUGUUCGGAAUUAUUGGGCGUAAAGGGCGCGCAGGCGGUUUGGAUAGUUAGACGUGAAAGCCCUGGGCUUAACCUAGGAACUGCGUUUAAUACUGCCAAACUAGAGAACUAGAGAGGAUAGCGGAACUCCCAGUGUAGAGGUGAAAUUCGUAGAUAUUGCGAAGAACAUCAGUGGCGAAAGCGGCUGUCUGG